CGAAAGAUUAGCUAAUAACCGAAUAAUAACAUCAAUAUCGCAUGAGAAGAUGUAGAAAGUCGCUCUUUGUGGGCGACGCUUUUGGAUGAGGGUGCGACGUAUCAGAUAGUUGGUGAGGUAAUGGCUCACCAAGUCAAUGACGCGUAGCUGUACUGAGAGGUAGAACAGCCACAAUGGGACUGAUACACGGCCCAUACUCCUACGGGAGGCAGCAGCA
rnacentral:rRNA from 1 species